GAGUUUUUCGUAUUACAUUUAUCCAGCUAACUAAACUAAAUAAGUUGGAGCAUGCCCUUUAAUCUCGUGGAUUAUUGUAGGGACAAAAGGAUAAGAUAAGAUGCGUCAAGUCAGGUUAUUUCGUUUGGGCACAUAAUCCAAGGGAAAAAAAAGUAACGUAGACAGGGGAUAAGCAACUUUUAUUUGCGUUUUGUCAGGACGGACUGAGGGGGCAAGUGAGGGAGAGGGAAGAGGGCAAGAACGGUUUGCGAUUCUCUGACAAUAGCUUUCAUAAACGGCAGGAAGAGAAAGGCAAGAUGUUAUUGACCGAUAGCCAGUCAAGGCCUGAUGUAGAUAAAAAUUCACUAUCUAGAGCAAAGACAAGACUGCAGCGACAUAACCAAUACGGUUCGGUCGCAUGAACCGGACAAAUAUAAAUGUGUUCCCCUGAUGUGUUGAACCUGUUGCUUGCUUUCUUAUUUCGGGACACAGGUUGGAAUGACGAUAUCUCCGUAGCUGGAACUUAUGAGUUCCAUGUGGGGUUAGGAGAAAUUCCAUGAUUUGGUGGUGGUUUAGUGAAGGGGAAUGGAGGUGGGGGUGUUGCGGGAACGUAUGGACGUUAUAGUAAAGAAACCAUACAUAUAACGCC
rnacentral:sRNA from 1 species